rnacentral:rRNA from 1 species
CUUGCUAUCGAUGCUGACGAGCGGCGGACGGGUGAGUAAUGCGUGGGAAUAUGCCCUGAUGUGGGAGAUAACUAUAGGAAACGAUAGCUAAUACCGCAUAAUCUCUUCGGAGCAAAGAGGGGGACCUUCGGGCCUCUCGCGUCAGGAUUAGCCCAGGUGGGAUUAGCUUGUUGGUGGGGUAAUGGCUCACCAAGGCAACGAUCCCUAGCUGGUCUGAGAGGAUGAUCAGCCACACUGGAACUGAGACACGGUCCAGACUCCUACGGGAGGCAGCAGUGGGGAAUAUUGCACAAUGGGGGAAACCCUGAUGCAGCCAUGCCGCGUGUAUGAAGAAGGCCUUCGGGUUGUAAAGUACUUUCAGUUGUGAGGAAGGCGUUGAUGUUAAUAGCUUCAGCGUUUGACGUUAGCAACAGAAGAAGCACCGGCUAACUCCGUGCCAGCAGCCGCGGUAAUACGGAGGGUGCGAGCGUUAAUCGGAAUUACUGGGCGUAAAGCGCAUGCAGGUGGUCUGUUAAGCAAGAUGUGAAAGCCCGGGGCUCAACCUCGGAACAGCAUUUUGAACUGGCAGACUAGAGUACUGU